rnacentral:lncRNA from 1 species
AACAUAUACGUGGAGAACGAACGAAGUGAUUGUGCGAGCAGGCCAAGGCAGAAAGUUGCAAGGAGACUAUUAGUGCCACGAAACCAGCCACCGCCGCCUGUAGCAUCAUCCGGUGCCCGUGCUGCAAGUUCAGUCGUAACCCCUGUGGAGGGGGAACCGACCCCAUGGAGAAAGUAGGGGCUGAUGAGCUGCGUUUAAGUAUGCUUUACUGGUGCUUUUAGACACAAUAAGUGGCCCGACAUCACUUGGCCAUAGGCUGCUCUUCCCCAUCUCAAUGAGCAUAGCUCUUGGAACACUGGCUCCGCCAAAAAACUAGCCAUAAAGUUCAAGGUAAAGUUUUUAAACCAUGUA